AUGGCACAGGCGGGGGAGAGGAGCCACCGAUGCCCUGGGCAAGCCCGGGAGAUGCCGGCACGGGGAGCAGGGCGCCGGGAUGCCAGGUCCUGGUGUGUCCUCCGGCGCCCGGCUGUGCCAAGGGCUGCGGGGCCACGGGCCGUGUCUCAGCCGCAGCAGGUCCCGCAGGGCGUGUCACCAGCCCACGCCACGCGGGAGGCCGUGGCGAGGCUGCCCUGUCGCGGUGCACGGGUCAGAGUUCCCUGCCAUGGGGCCGUUUCGGGAUCGCUGCGGAUUUCACCAGCCGCUGCCCUUGACCGCCUCUCUCACCCCGCGCCGGCCGCCCUGGACUUUCCCCGCUCUGGCGUCACGGUUGUUCCCUGGCCGUGGCUGCAGGGCAGCACCGCCUCUGGGCUGUGCCGGGCUGUACAAAGCGCUGGGCUCUCCCACCUCGGCGGCGCUGCCUGUGGCGAGGACACUCAUCCUACUCUGGCCACCUCCUAUCUGCAAGGACCUGUCCAUCACCUGGGCUCUGCUUGGUUUAACAGCCUCGGGGGCCACCCAGGUCUCACACAGGGCCCUUUGGUCCAGACCUGCUGCCUGGGGCACACAGAGCCUGGGGACAGGCUCACUCCCAUUAGGACCUGGCUUGGCAGCACUGGGUGGGCUCUGCCCACCCCCCAUCCGUGGAAGCUGGUGGAAGGCAGGGCCAUCCCCUGCUCCCCGUGGGCAGGAUCUGGGCUGUGUCUGAUCCAGGUGCCUGGUGAAGGUCUGGCCGCAUCCCUUGCCAUCCACAUGCCCGGUCUCCCGGACCCCUCCCCAUCGUGUCUCAGGGCCGGCACUUCCCCCUGCGAGGUCACUGGACGCGGCCACCUGGCUCUUGCCGCAUGGAGGGCGUUUGCUGGGUGGCUCCCAUGCAUCCCACGGCAUUGGGAGCCGGUGGCCAGGGCUGGCCCCGUGUCCCCGGCACCUUAUCAGGGGCGUUGCUCAACAGCAGGCUCGAAGUCGGGGGUGGGCAGGGGCUGCGGCACCGCCUCGCUUCUGAGCUGUGGGGUCUGGAGAAUCCCCAUUCCUGGGCGAGCUGGGGAGGGCAUGUCUGGGUUCGCCAUGGGCUGGGCUGCUCCCUGCCAGCGNNNNNNNNNNNNNNNNNNNNACCCCAGCUUUGUGGGGAGCCACCCACGCCACCGUGGCUGCCACUGCCGUCCCCCUCCUGCCUUACUGAGCUCUCAUAUGCGGGACGGAGAAACUGAGCCAGGGUCGGGACAGGCUGGCCCCGGUUUUCGUGGCUCCCCGACCCACGGGGUCCUCGCAGGGCCCCUCCGUCCUUUUCUCUGGGGCUGCUGGGGGGCACGGCCCAGACCUGGCCCCGCACUCCUCGCCUCCUCCCUCCCUCCCCCCCGGGGGGCGGGGGAGAUGAGGGGGGGACCGGGCGGGCUGGGGCGGGGAGGGGAAGGGAAGGAGGUGGGAUUAUGA
rnacentral:lncRNA from 1 species